rnacentral:rRNA from 1 species
UACGAAGGGGGCUAGCGUUGUUCGGAAUCACUGGGCGUAAAGGGCGCGUAGGCGGCUUUGUAAGUCGGGGGUGAAAGCCUGUGGCUCAACCACAGAAUUGCCUUCGAUACUGCAUGGCUUGAGACCGGAAGAGGUAAGUGGAACUGCGAGUGUAGAGGUGAAAUUCGUAGAUAUUCGCAAGAACACCAGUGGCGAAGGCGGCUUACUGGUCCGGUUCUGACGCUGAGG